AAGAUCAUACUUUUAGGGAUCAUUUCUGAAGUAUGUCUUGCCGAGACGUCGAGUAAAAUCGAUCGGCACGUAAACCACGAUGACGAGAUUGCGUCACUUCCUCUGAGCGUGAAGCGAGUCCUGGUCUACUGUUGCUCUCGCAGACGACCAUGGGCAAUUGAGGAUCGUUCCUGUCCCCCUUCAGCGGGGAUCAGGAGGGGGGAGUGGCAAUCAGAGUGGU